AAGAUGGUGCAGGUGGGGAAGACCGUGCAGGUAGGGAAGACCGUGCAGGUAGGGAAGACUGUGCAGGUGGGGACGACGGUGCAGGUGGGGAAGACUGUGCAGGUGGGUUCAGCCCUGUUCCACCUCUAUGUUAAUGUUAGUGUAUUUAUGCAAUUGAGGCACAUCAUCUUUAUUGUUAACACAAAGUAUUUAAAAAGUACAUGAUACCAAGGGAAAGUGAAUUCCCUGAAAUCCAUUCAUUAUUUGUCCAUAAUUCAGUCAAUAACUGAUGGAUUUUAAAAAUGCAAAAAGUUUAGAGUAUCUUCAUUCUUUGCCUGUUGCAUUUAUUAGUAUUGUUUUAAAACCUUUUAACAAUUUUGAUGACCAUUGCUAAAUGUAGUCUUUUUCUGCUUCGGGCGCCGAGCCUGAGCCCCUCGGUGUCUGUUAGUGAUUGCGAAUGUCUGAGUAACACGGAACCCAAACCGCUAUCGUGCAUAACUUUAUUUUGCCCCCCCCCACACCAAACGCGAUCACAACACCCAAGUUAAAAUAUCAAAACAAACUCUGAACCAAUGACAUUAAUUUGGGGACAGGUCGAAAAGCAUUCAACAUGUAUGGCAAUUUAGCUAGUUAGCUUGCACUUGCUGUGGCCUACAACACUUUUCCAUUGCUAUGGUUACUGCCCCCCAACAUAGAAGGAUCACUGCUGUCCCUGUCUUUGUUUCAUAGUCCAUUACACCACAGUCGUGUGUGUGUGUAAUAUAGGGUUGGGUGUUAUCCAGAUGUCCAUACCGUUCCAGUACCAUACGGUAUUACCAGUAGUGCACACAAGGGUGGCUAUUUCUUUGCAAAGGUAAAAAAUAAAAAGUAUGCUAAUAAAGUACUUGUGAAAUCCCAUAGCGGACACUACGUAAAUGCUAACAAGCGCAAGCGAACAUUAAACUAAAUGCAAGGACAGACAACCCAGCUCAUUAAGUUCUCAAAGGAAUACACUCGAACUUGAUC
ensembl:lncRNA